rnacentral:rRNA from 1 species
GGAAACAGGUGCUAAUACCGUAUAACACUAUUUUCCGCAUGGAAGAAAGUUGAAAGGCGCUUUUGCGUCACUGAUGGAUGGACCCGCGGUGCAUUAGCUAGUUGGUGAGGUAACGGCUCACCAAGGCCACGAUGCAUAGCCGACCUGAGAGGGUGAUCGGCCACACUGGGACUGAGACACGGCCCAGACUCCUACGGGAGGCAGCAGUAGGGAAUCUUCGGCAAUGGACGAAAGUCUGACCGAGCAACGCCGCGUGAGUGAAGAAGGUUUUCGGAUCGUAAAACUCUGUUGUUAGAGAAGAACAAGGAUGAGAGUAGAACGUUCAUCCCUUGACAGUAUCUAACCAGAAAGCCACGGCUAACUACGUGCCAGCAGCCGCGGUAAUACGUAGGUGGCAAGCGUUGUCCGGAUUUAUUGGGCGUAAAGCGAGCGCAGGCGGUUUCUUAAGUCUGAUGUGAAAGCCCCCGGCUCAACCGGGGAGGGUCAUUGGAAACUGGGAGACUUGAGUGCAGAAGAGGAGAGUGGAAUUCCAUGUGUAGCGGUGAAAUGCGUAGAUAUAUGGAGGAACACCAGUGGCGAAGGCGGCUCUCUGGUCUGUAACUGACGCUGAGGCUCGAAAGCGUGGGGAGCGAACAGGAUUAGAUACCCUGGUAGUCCACGCCGUAAACGAU